rnacentral:rRNA from 1 species
GGUCGAUUUAAUUUAAUUCUAGUGGCGGACGGGUGAGUAACGCGUGGGUAACCUGCCUUAUACAGGGGGAUAACAGUCAGAAAUGGCUGCUAAUACCGCAUAAGCGCACAGAGCUGCAUGGCUCAGUGUGAAAAACUCCGGUGGUAUAAGAUGGACCCGCGUUGGAUUAGCUAGUUGGUGGGGUAACGGCCCACCAAGGCGACGAUCCAUAGCCGGCCUGAGAGGGUGAACGGCCACAUUGGGACUGAGACACGGCCCAGACUCCUACGGGAGGCAGCAGUGGGGAAUAUUGCACAAUGGGGGAAACCCUGAUGCAGUGACGCCGCGUGAGCGAUGAAGUAUUUCGGUAUGUAAAGCUCUAUCAGCAGGGAAGAAAAUGACGGUACCUGACUAAGAAGCACCGGCUAAAUACGUGCCAGCAGCCGCGGUAAUACGUAUGGUGCAAGCGUUAUCCGGAUUUACUGGGUGUAAAGGGAGCGUAGACGGAGUGGCAAGUCUGAUGUGAAAACCCGGGGCUCAACCCCGGGACUGCAUUGGAAACUGUCAAUCUGGAGUACCGGAGAGGUAAGCGGAAUUCCUAGUGUAGCGGUGAAAUGCGUAGAUAUUAGG